rnacentral:lncRNA from 1 species
CCGGCAGCUGCCACGCUUCCCUGAAAAGGCGGCUUCUGUUCUGCUGGAGAUGAGCUGAUUUGCCUGGCAGCCAACUUAAACAAGGAGGCAAGAAAACAGCAUAGACUGGGCUCCCAAAUACAUCUACAUGGAUUUAAUGGACACGGAUAUAAUGAAGGGCAAAGUGUAUAAUGAUAUAAUUGAUAUAGAAAAAGAAAGUAAGAAGAGAUACUGGAGGGAAGGGAGAGGAAAAAAGGCAAACGUGGAACAAUGAAUUACAGAACAGGAAGAAGAAGAGAAAAGAAAGGCAAGAAAGGAGGUGAGUAGGUACCUGAGAAUAUGUUCAUUUGGGUAGGAAAUUGCUGGUGAACAGAAGGUUGAUCUGGGAGCUAAGAUGGCUGCAAACUUGUGAAUUAAAUUUAGAAUGUGUUGAGUUGAUGUAAC